rnacentral:rRNA from 1 species
AAUCUCUUAACGAGGAACAAUUGGAGGGCAAGUCUGGUGCCAGCAGCCGCGGUAAUUCCAGCUCCAAUAGCGUAUAUUAAAGUUGUUGCAGUUAAAAAGCUCGUAGUUGAAUUUCGGGAUCAAUUUAUCGGUCGUGCCAAUGGUAUGAACUGGUACAAUUGGUUUCUCCCUUCUGACGAAGCAUGAUGUCAUUAAUUUGGUGUCGUGGGGAAUCAGGACUGUUACUUUGAAAAAAUUAGAGUGUUUAAAGCAAGCAUUAGCUUGAAUACAUUAGCAUGGAAUAAUGAAAUAGGACGUUUGAUCCUAUUUCGUUGGUUUCUAGGAUCGACGUAAUGAUUAAUAGGGAUAGCUGGGGGCAUUAGUAUUCAAUUGUCAGAGGUGAAAUUCUUGGAUUUAUUGAAGACUAACUACUGCGAAAGCAUUUGCCAAGGAUGUUUUCAUUAAUCAAGAACGAAAGUUAGGGGAUCGAAGACGAUCAGAUACCGUCGUAGUCUUAACCAUAAACUAUGCCGACUAGGGAUCGGAUGGUGUUGAUUUUUUAAUGACUCAUUCGGCGCCUUACGGGAAACCAAAGUGUUUGGGUUCCGGGGGGAGUAUGGUCGCAAGGCUGAAACUUAAAGGAAUUGACGGAAGGGCACCACCAGGGGUGGAGCCUGCGGCUUAAUUUGACCCAACACGGGGAAACUCACCAGGUCCAGACAUAGUAAGGAUUGACAGAUUGAGAGCUCUUUCUUGAUUCUAUGGGUGGUGGUGCAUGGCCGUUCUUAGUUGGUGGAGUGAUUUGUCUGGUUAAUUCCGAUAACGAACGAGACCUUAACCUGCUAAAUAGCUAGGCUUAGCAUUGCUAGGUCGUCAGCUUCUUAGAGGGACUAUCGGUGUUUAACCGAUGGAAGUUUGAGGCAAUAACAGGUCUGUGAUGCCCUUAGAUGUUCUGGGCCGCACGCGCGCUACACUGAUUAAGUCAACGAGUUCACUCCCUUUGUCGGAAGACAUGGGUAAUCUUUUGAAACUUCAUCGUGCUGGGGAUAGAGCAUUGCAAUUAUUGCUCUUAAACGAGGAAUCCCUAGUAAGUACAAGUCAUCAGCUUGUGCUGAUUACGUCCCUGCCCUUUGUACACACCGCCCGUCGCUACUACCGAUUGAAUGGCUUAGUGAGGACUUCGGAUUGAGCUUCGGAAGCUGUAAAAGGCAUCCGAUUUUUAAAAAGUUGUUCAAACUUGGUCAUUUAGAGGAAGUAAAAGUC